AAUCAACGCUGGCGGCGUGCCUCAGACAUGCAAGUCGAACGAUUAAAGCUCUCUUCGGAGAGUGUAUAGAGUGGCGCACGGGUGAGUAACACGUAAGUAAUCUACCGUUCGAGUGGGGAAGUAACGUCCGGAAACGGACGCUAAUACCGCAUAAUGCAGCGGCAUCGCAAGAUGACAGUUGUUAAAGAUUUAUCGCUUGAAGAGGAGCUUGCGGCAGAUUAGCUAGUU
rnacentral:rRNA from 1 species